AGUGAACGCUGGCGGUAGGCCUAACACAUGCAAGUCGAACGGCAGCACAGUAAGAGCUUGCUCUUACGGGUGGCGAGUGGCGGACGGGUGAGGAAUACAUCGGAAUCUACUCUUUCGUGGGGGAUAAAGUAGGGAAACCUACGCUAAUACCGCAUACGACCUACGGGUGAAAGCAGGGGAUCUUCGGACCUUGCGCGAUUGAAUGAGCCGAUGUCGGAUUAGCGAGUUGGCGGGGUAAAGGCCCAACAAGGCGACGAGCCGUAGCUGGUCUGAGAGGAUGAUCCGCCACACUGGAUCUGAGACUCGGCCCAGACUCCUACGGGAGGCAGCAGUGGGGAAUAUUGGACGAUGGGCGCAAGCCUAAUCCAGCCAUACCGCGUGGGUCAAGAACGCCUUCGGGUUGUAAAGCCAUUUCGUUGUGAGAGUAGAGCAGCUGGUUAAUACCCCGCUGUUCUGACGGUACCCAAAGAAUAAGCACCGGCUAACUUCGUG
rnacentral:rRNA from 1 species